rnacentral:rRNA from 1 species
UACGUAGGGUGCAAGCGUUGUCCGGAAUUAUUGGGCGUAAAGAGCUCGUAGGCGGUUUGUCGCGUCGGCUGUGAAAUCCCGAGGCUCAACCUCGGGUCUGCAGUCGAUACGAGCAAACUAGAGUGUUGCAGGGGAGACUGGAAUUCCUGGUGUAGCGGUGAAAUGCGCAGAUAUCAGGAGGAACACCGGUGGCGAAGGCGGGUCUCUGGGCAACAACUGACGCUCAUGCACGAAAGCGUGGGGAGCAAACAGG